rnacentral:rRNA from 1 species
GACGUAGGGCGCGAGCGUUGUCCGGAUUAUUGGGCGUAAAGAGCUCGUAGGCGGCUCGUUGCGUCAACCGUGAAAACCCGGGGCUAACUUCGGGCUUGCGGUUGAUACGGGCGGGCUGGAGUUCGGUAGGGGAGACUGGAAUUCCUGGUGUAGCGGUGAAAUGCGCAGAUAUCAGGAGGAACACCGGUGGCGAAGGCGGGUCUCUGGGCCGAUACUGACGUGAGGAGCGAAAGCGUGGGGAGCGAACAGG